UGCUGUGCCUGAGUCUACCUUUACUAGCCGUUACCGGCCUCCGUUCCCCUCCCUAGCGGCGCCUGCCCCGCCUUGCAUUCCCAAGCUCCGCCCCCCUUGCCCCUAGCGGCUGUUUGUUGACUUCCGGGAGCGCGGUUGUCCGUUGAUUCGCCAGGCGGAACUGGGGGGCUUUUGCGGCCGGCGUCGGGGCGGAGUAGCUGCCUUAGCCCCGACCAAACCGUCCUCUACAGCCUCCUGGCCCAGGCGCAGGCUGCCCGUACCGCCCUUGGCAUGAAGGAGCCCGAAGAGCCGUUGCCCGUUUAUGUGUGAUCACCCCCCUUGGGAUUUCUCCAGAAGCUGGACCUGGCCUACUAUUUGGUGUAUGUGUGUGUUUAAAUGGUUUUUGGGAACUGCUAAUUAGUCUCGCUUCAAAAUGAUCCUGUGCCACAACAGUUUGUGAAUACUACUCAAAUCAGAACGCUGGAGGUUCCUUGGAAAAACUGGACCAGAGAAAAUCCAAAUUGACUGAUAGAGACUCUCCCCAUAGAUAUCCUGAGUGAAGUUAAUGAGGAAGCUAAGUACUGUCCUGUUUUUGUGUUUCGAGAAAAGCUCUCAGUCAGAGGCCAGACCAUGAGGUGUUAACCAGAGCAAGACUAGCACAAAUUGUACCAUUUCAUUCCAGGGAAUAGACAUCUACUUGGUGACAGCAGAACUAUUAGUAAUAGAUGACUGCCUUCCUUGUGAUAGUGUAUUUCUUACUUUGUGCCAGUAUAUGAGUAAUACAUGUUCAAUCUAGUAGAUUUCAGAGGUAAAACUAUAAUGGAGUCUGAGGAAUAAGAAAGACUGAAUUAAGGUGGAAGAAGGAAGGCUUAAACAUUGCCAGAGUGGGGGCAAAGCUGUCAUGAAACAAGAGGUUUGUAUGGAUAAUUACUAAAAGGUAUUUAAAUAACAGGCAACAUAAGUUAAAGUUAUAAAAUAGAGACCAUCUUAUAUUUGCAGAUUCGGGUGCUGUGUUUACAUUUGGGAAAAGUAAAUUUGCUGAAAAUAAUCCCAGUAAAUUCUGGUUUAAAAAUGAUGUCCCUGUACAUCUUUCAUGUGGAGAUGAACAUACUGCUAUUGUUACCGGUUAGUAUUACAAUCCUGAAUGAGGACAGUAAUACUUAGAAAAUUCUAAAUAUAAUGUUAUAGAUACGCUGCUGUGUUUUAAACAUGUUGAAAAUAUAUCAUAAAAAAGCAACAUCUCUAAGUGAUUGGCAUAUGGGCUGCAAAAGAUGACUGCUAUGAUUCUUGGUCAUCCACAG
rnacentral:lncRNA from 1 species